rnacentral:rRNA from 1 species
GAUGAACGCUGGCGAGAUGCCUUAUACAUGCAAGUCGUACGAGAGUUUUUAACUCAAGUGGCGGACGGGUGAGUAACACGUAAGAAUUUGCCUUUAGGAGGGGGACAACAACUGGAAACGGUUGCUAAUACCCCAUAUGCUUUCGAGUGAAAUGGAUUUUUCCGCCUAGAGAGAAGCUUGCGGCUGAUUAGCUUGUUGGUGAGGUAAUGGCUCACCAAGGCGACGAUCAGUAUCUGGUUUGAGAGGACGAUCAGACACACUGGAACUGAGACACGGUCCAGACUCCUACGGGAGGCAGCAGUAGGGAAUUUUCCGCAAUGGGCGAAAGCCUGACGGAGCAAUCUCGCGUGAGGGAUGACGGCCUAUGGGUUGUAAACCUCUUUUAUCAAGGAAGAAGAUCUGACGGUACUUGAUGAAUAAGCCACGGCUAAUUCCGUG